rnacentral:piRNA from 1 species
UUCCCAUAUUUUUUGAUUUGC